rnacentral:rRNA from 1 species
AUUGAACGCUGGCGGCAGGCCUAACACAUGCAAGUCGAGCGAGCGGCGGACGGGUGCGUAAUGUCUGGGAAACUGCCUGAUGGCGGGGGAUAACUACUGGAAAAGGGAGGUAAUACCGCAUACCAUGCGAUGUGACGAGAUGGGAUUAGCUAGUCGGUGGGGUCACGGCCCACCUAGGCGACGAUCCCUAGCUGGUCUGAGAGGAUGACCAGCCACACUGGAACUGAGACACGGUCCAGACGCCUCAGGGAGGCAGCAGUGGGGAAUAUUGCACAAUGGGCGAAAGCCUGAUGCAGCCAUGCCGCGUGUGUGAAGAAGGCUUUCGGGUUGUAAAGCCCUUUCGGCGGGGAGGCGUUACCCGCAGAGGAAGCACCGACUAACUCCGUGCCAGCCGCCGCGGUAAUAC